GAUGAACGCUGGCGGCGUGCCUAAUACAUGCAAGUCGAGCGAACGGACGAGAAGCUUGCUUCUCUGAUGUUAGCGGCGGACGGGUGAGUAACACGUGGAUAACCUACCUAUAAGACUGGUAUAACUUCGGGAAACCGGAGCUAAUACCGGAUAAUAUUUUGAACCGCAUGGUUCAAUAGUGAAAUACGGUCUUUCUGUCACUUAUAGAUGGAUCCGCGCUGCAUUAGCUAGUUGGUAAGGUCACGGCCUACCAAGGCAACUAUGCAUAGCCGAACUGGGAGAGGGGUAGGCCGCACUGGAAGUUGACCAGCGUCCAGGCUCCUGAGGGACGGCCCAGACGGGAAUGUUACGCAACAGGGGGAAACAUGACAGAGCAAGCCCACGUGAGUUGCGGAAGCCCUGCGUUCGUAAAACCCUCUUACUAGGGGAGAACAUAUGUGUCAGUAAAUGUGCCCAUAUUGACGGUACCUAAUCAGAAAGCAACGGCUAACUACGUG
rnacentral:rRNA from 1 species